GGUCUUAUGGCGCAGUCGGUAGCGCACGGUACUAAUACUCAGCGAGCUUGCUCAGGAGCAUUAGUGUAUGCCGCGGUCCACGGUUCGAGCCCGUGUGGGACCA